UUUAAAAAACUCUUUUCUUUUUCAAUUUGUCUCAUCCCAGAUUAUGUGGGAUUUGAUUUGUUCUUAUUUAAGCCAUUGUUGCAAUGCCUUUUCAGAUGUUCCAAAUGUCUCAUCCCAGAUUAUGUGGGAUUUGAUUUGUUCUUAUUUAAGCCAUUGUUGCAAUGCCUUUUCAGAUGUUCCAAUUAAUCCUCUGGAUAAAGCUUUGAACUUAGUAAUUUGAUUAGUUGUUUU
rnacentral:lncRNA from 1 species